UGGCGAACGGGUGAGUAAUACGUGAGUAACCUACCUUUAACUCUGGGAUAAGCCUGGGAAACUGGGUCUAAUACCGGAUACGACCAAUCUCCGCAUGGAGUGUUGGUGGAAAGCGUUAUGUAGUGGUUAUAGAUGGGCUCACGGCCUAUCAGCUUGUUGGUGAGGUAACGGCUCACCAAGGCGACGACGGGUAGCCGGCCUGAGAGGGUGACCGGCCACACUGGGACUGAGACACGGCCCAG
rnacentral:rRNA from 1 species